UGAGGAAUAUUGGUCAAUGGUCGGGAGACUGAACCAGCCAAGCCGCGUGAGGGAUGAAGGUACAGAGUAUCGUAAACCUCUUUUGUCAGGGAACAAAAGGCGCCACGUGUGGCGCUCCGAGUGUACCUGAAGAAAAGCAUCGGCUAACUCCGUGCCAGCAGCCGCGGUAAUACGGAGGAUGCGAGCGUUAUCCGGAUUUAUUGGGUUUAAAGGGUGCGUAGGCGGCGAGUUAAGUCAGCGGUAAAAUGCCCGGGGCUCAACCCCAGGCCCGCCGUUGAAACUGGCUUGCUUGAGUUGGAGAGAAGUAGGCUGAAUGCGCGGUGUAGCGGUGAAAUGCUUAGAUAUCGCGCAGAACUCCGAUUGCGAAGGCAGCCUACCGGCUCCACACUGACGCUGAGGCACGAAAGCGUGGGUAUCGAACAGGAUUAGAUACC
rnacentral:rRNA from 1 species